CGUGCAAGUAAUUGAGAGCUCAUCAUAGUAAAAUUUUUAGUUUUUCUUACUAUAAUUCUAUUUAAUUUAGAGUAUUCCUCCCUUUUCUCUAUUUUUAUUCCUUCUCCAAUCAGUUUUUUCAAUCUGUACUUUCUUGUCUUAUGCGCUUUUAAAUACAUACCCUACUUUUUUUCCCUGAUGCUGAUGAAACCAUUAUUGCAAUUAGCUAAGAUACCAUCAGUAGUGUGUUGCUUUCACCCUCCUUCCAGAAUAGGCAGUUAUAAACUAGGUUCUUCAGAGUGAGAAUUCUUGACCAAGGAAAAUGUUUUAAAGAUUGACUUUUUAUAUAUUAACCUCUUCUCUUUCAAAACCUCUACCUUGUAGUAGGUUAUGGAAAACUCCUUCAUCUCAUGGGGGAUGUAAAUUUUGCUUAAGUUUGUGAAUGUCUCCUAGUCCUCAUGCCAUUUCUCCAUCAGACUAAUGGCAUUCCUUCAGGUAUCAUCUAAAUGCCAUUUUUUUUUUCAGGGAAGGUGCCUGUAAGUCCCAAGACAAGGAUAAAUCUUCUGUUGUGAAACUACACUAUAAUUCAUCUCUUAUAUCUGUCUUGGUCUGAUUGUAAGCUUCAGAAGAGCAGAAACAACCAGUGUUCUGUCUACUUCCACAUCUCCUGACACCAAUCAUGUAGUAGACACUGAUUAAAGACUUACUGAGUGGAAAUUGAAUCUGACCUAGUUAAAGACCAACCAAGCUGCAACCAGGCUGGUUUGGAAGCUCAAGAGCUUUAUCAGUCAUGGUAGGCUACACCACACUGUCAGGCUUUUUAACAGAGACAUUUUUUUUUGUUUUUUUUAACAAAAAGACAUGGUUUGGUCAGUAGCAGGAUUAAAUGUAGAAUUUUGCAUUUAGCUGCAAAUACAGUGGAAUUGCAAGUUUAUUGCAAUUUACAAAAUUCCAAAAGAUAUGGCAAAUAUUUUUGCCUAUUGCAUUUUUGUAAGUAUUUAUUUUGGGAAGAGGCUGAAAAUUUAACCUUCUUUUCAUGGUCUCUUUCUUGUCUUAUUUAUGUCUAAAAGAAACUGAUAUGAAAUGAACUGGAAACUUUAGGAUUCUCUUUGUUCUUUUUAAACUCUUAUUAAAACAAUAUGGAGAGAACACUGAAAUUGGUCUCAUAAGCUCCAGAUUCCAGUUCCCAAUCAACCAUGUUUUCUCUUCUAUAAAACACAGACAAUAAUAAUGCCAAUUGCAUAGAAUUGUUGUGAAGAUUAACUGAGAUGAUUCAUAUAAGACAUUGAGUGCAGGGCCUAGCAAAUAGUAAGUGCUCAUUAAAUGAUGAUGAUGGUGAUGAUAAUGGUGAUGGAUGCUAAAUUACUUAAUAUAUCUGAAUACUUCCUGUUUAAUCUACAUCACAGUAUUGGGAAGUCAUGUAAAAAUGAGAAAAAAAUAUAUGAAAGCACUCUGGAAACUACUUAAUUCUAAUGUACAACAUUAAUAAUAGUAACAAUGGGAGUGGUAAGUAAUGGUAAGCAUAAAUGUUUCACGUGGAUCUAACUCCUAAGUCAUGCAAGGAGCACUCAGUUCUGUUCAGAACAUACUGUGUUCUCUUUCUCUUUCUGUUUCCUUGCUUGGGAAAUCAAGAGUUAUGACUGGGAAUGUAGUUUAAAUGAGCCAGCAAAACACUCAUCAAACGGUUUAUUUUCCUAAUCUUGGUGUAUCAAUUUCAAAACCUGAAAAGUUCAUUUCAUAUUUCACAGGCUCUUUUAUAUAUAGUGUCAUAAAUGCCAAGAAAGUUGUUGACUUAACUUUACAUUUGUGAAAAGUAACCCUUAGUUGGCAAACAAAUACUCCUGAACUGAAGGAGAUAAGCUUCCUGUAUACUUGCAAGUCGCUGCUUUUUGUUUUGUUUCAUUUUCAAAAAACAAAAGACUUUUGGUUGCUUAAAUUCUUAUCACAAAUAGCACAAAUUUCCAGAUUCUCAGCUGUGUUGAGGUCUCUAGCAGAAGUUCAUUGCAUUUUCUGCCAGCAUUCUCCUUUAGAGGUGCUUUUACAACCAAUCUUUAAGCUUGCUAAGGUUCAAAUCACAGCUAACUCUUCCUGUUCAAAGCCACUGAAGAAAGACAUAUUUCAGAGAAUCUAAACGUGGGAAAAUUCUGUGCAUAAUCUCAGAACUUCAACUUUCUAUCCCAUCAAAUUUGACUUAAUAAAACUUCUCUUUCUCUCCUCUUUGUUUAGCAAUAUUAAUGAAAAAUGAAUACAGGGUAAGAAACAGAAGGAAAAGAGGCAAAAAUAGAGUAUGGAGUACUUAAAAUUUGUAACUAGCCUUUGAAGCAUUUUUAUUCAUGUUAUUCGGCAGAUGCCUUCUGAAAAGUUUUCUGUUCAACAGAGUCAUAAAAUGUUAGCCCUAGAAGGUGCCUUGAAGACCACGAUGAGUUAACUUUCUUCCUUUGCCAAGGAAGAAGCGAUUACUUCAGCAACUGUAAAUAUCAAAAACCAAUCCUGGCAUACUUCCUUCAGAGAGUUUUGUUGUAAGCCAUUGUAUGGAAAUAUUGGAGUCUGUUUUAAGGAAAGUUCUCAUCAAGGUAUAACCAGCUCUAUCAUGUUGCAUUGUGCUUGAUGACUUGGGGAAUGAUCAUUAUGACGGUCAGAAUCUGCUGGAGCAAAGAUGUGUCUUCUCUGUGUAACUUCACAUAGUGGAAGGAGUCAGGAACCUCUCUGAGGUCUCUUCUAUAAGAGGACUAAUCCCAUUCAUAAGGAGCGGUAUUUAUACCCCAGCAGGACUUGCUUGAAUACAAGGAACGCCAUCUAAUGAAAAUCCCAUGCCGCAGGCUGAGCUGGAGGGAGCAUCGUGAGUGGCUCAGACCCAGGCCUUCAAGGCAAGGGACAGACACCGUCUUACUUGGUUUGCGGUGGAAUAUCUGGAAAAAGCAUUGGUUACAUUUUUUGUAACCCUUGGCUAAUGAGUCCCAGUCAGUGGAGGCUGAGCUAAACACCACACAGGCAGCAGACCAUCAGCUCGCUUCUCAUGAAUGCAAAGAAGAUGUCAUGGAAUCAGGUCUUAUCUUUUCAUGUAACCUGGCAGCUAAUUUCUCCCUUAAUUAGUUGUAACACCGUUUAUGCAAAACAAAGGAUUUUCUUAUUUCCUUAAACAAAAAUUGUGCUGGAAUUCUAGAAUUUAUUUUCUAAGUAUGUAAUUAAGCACAUUACAAAAAGACAUAAUUGCAGGUCAGAGAUUUUCUAGUGGAGACUGUUACCCAUGUUCUCAGGGUGUUGACAGGAUACGCUUCAUCUCCCUGGUCCUGCCCCCAUGUUAUAAUAGCUAACAGUUUUUUGGUAUUUUUAAGUUUGCAAAGAGUUUGGAUAUGCAGAAUCUCAUGUGGAGCUCCUUAUUAGGAUUAAAGGGGGAAGAAAAGAAUCAGAGAGUAAAAUUUUAGAAUAUUAAUGCUUGGAGGCCUUUGGGGAUCACUUAGUCUAGCAUUUUCCAAAUUGUAACCAGUAGAAUACGAGUUCUAGAAAAUGAUAUUUGAAAAUAGAGUUCCAGCUGGGUGCGGUGGCUCAUGCCUGUAAUCCUAGCACUUUGGGAGGCCGAGGUGGGUGGAUCACAAGGUCAGGAGUUUAAGAUCAGCCUGGUAAACAUGGUGAAACCCUGUCUCUAUUAAAAAUACAAAAAUUAGCUGGGCAUGGUGGCACGUGCCUGUAGUCCCAGCUACUUGGGAGGCUGAGGCAGGAGAAUCACUGGAACCUGGGAGGCUGAGGUUGCAGUGAGCCAAGAUCCCGCCACUGCACUCCAGCCUGGGUGAAAGAGUGAGACUUCAUCUCAAAAAAAAAAAAAAAAAAAAAAGAAAAAAGAAAAUAGGGUUCCAAAAUGAAAUGAGGUUGGGAAACCUGGGACACUGUUUCCCCUCCUGGAGAUUUGCAGUUCAUAUUAACAUAUUAUAGGCUUUGGGGAUUCCCAAAAUAAAAAAAAAAAAGUAUUAAGUUUCUUUUAAUGAAGCAUUUCCUACUUUUAUUUGAUUAUGCAGUAUCUCCCCUCCCCUCAUAUAUAUAUAUAUAUUUAACAUUUAAGGAAACCAAAGCCUUACAGUUACACGGUUAAUUGGUGGCAAAUCCUCGAUUUCACAAUUCUCGGGCUCCAGAUUAUUACAUCACUUGCUAAGGUCUGUGAAGUACUCUGACUGUGACUCACAACCGAGGACUUGUGGAAUAGUGACUGGGCCACGCGACUGCACUCUCUUAAGAUUUUGGUUUGCCAAGUCAUUCUGAAUCUAAUGAUCUUUGGGUGAUUCCCCAGACUGAGGAGGAAGCAACAGCAGCUGUGCAUUGGGCCCACAGAAAGAAUGGUUGAAGACUGCAGUGUAUUUUGAGUUUCUGCUUUGGAGGGGAGGGUUGGUCCUGAUGCCCACAGACGAAUGGCCUCCUGGUUCCAAUCAAGGCCAGCCCAAAAGUCUGCUUCUGGAACCCAAACCUAAGGGACUCAGCUAUGUUUGUGUUGACCUACUAUCAAUAAAGAAGAUCCUUAUUUAAGAACAGGCCACCUUCUGUUUUACACAUAUACUUUCUGACCCUAGAAAUUGUUCAGAAGGUGGAAUGUUUUGCUGUUUCAAUGAGAUCACAUGUGUAAAGGCUCUUUGUACACUGCAGGAGCUAUAGAAAUGUGAGUUAUGAUUGCUCAAAUUUCAUUCCCUUUGCUCUAAUUUUGAGUUAGGGGAGAGAAAGCCGGCCUGUAAAGUACAUAUCACAGUUUCUCUUUCUCAGCUUUCAACUGCAUGGGAGUUUGUAUUUCUGUUUCUACUACUCCAUUUCCUCUGCUGAUACCCUGCCAGGGAGGUGAAUGUAUCAAGUCAGGAAGUAGACUUCUCAGAAUAAAGAAUGCAGAAUUAGAAUGUUUAGUGCACCCAAGGUUAGGUGUAGAGUGUGUCAUAUGAAAGUAAUAGGUAUACUUUUUUCAUAGCAUUUAAUAUGCCUUUAUCCUUAAAUUUUUAAUAGGUUUUGAUAUAUCAAAGUAUAUAAAAGUAUACACUUUAUUAUAAUUGUCAACUGUAUUUUUGUAGUUUUCUUCUCUCACUUUUCAGAGAGGGGAGAAUUUAGCCCUUACUGUGAAAACAAAUACACAAGGAAGAAACAAGCUUAUUACAAACAAGAAUGUUCCUCUAUUACAUGUACUGAUCUAAAAACCUUAGUCUAGUUACUCCUCCUGAAGCUCAUGUUUAAUAUUUGGAAUAGAAAAUACUUUUCUAUUAAAAAAUCCAGAAGAAAUUAAGAUAUUGAUUUUUCCCCAUAAGAUCUCUGUUGUGGUGACUGCAGUGACUGUAAUAUCUUCUGUCGUUGCAUUUGUAAUGGCUUCAUCAAGAAUGAGAUUGCCUCCCAAAGGGUGGGUUAGAAGUUUCCCAUCUGCAGGCAUUGCUUGGCCAGCAUCUAUCCUCUAUUUCCACAACCCACCAUGUUUUUUGGAAUAAUAUGGGUGCUCUUAGUAACUCAUGCAAGGGUGGUCAUUUUGCUUCUGUAUGAUAUUGAUUCUAUAACUUGCAACCAGUGGCAGAGCUCAGUGGAGGACUUUCCACCUUCCACCCACCCUGCUCUUUUCUGGCCACAGCCAAGAGCUCCAGAUUACAGAGAUUCUGACUGGUGAAUUUGGAAGUAAUCACUUCAUUUCCCAGGAGGUCCAAUUCAGGAUAUACCUCUAGUUUAGAGUUGGUUGCGAGAGUUAUGCAAACCAACAAUAAAACUGGGAGACUCCAGACGCCAUUGCCCUCAAGGCCUUGGGCACAGCCCAGGGAGUGCCUGGCUGUGUGGACUUGGAGCCAAGGGCCCUGGGACUGCAUGCGACACCACUACUCAACACACAAGAGAUUCCCAGCUUAGCACAAAAUAGGUUUUUGUUUGAUUCCUUCCCAGUGUUUACCUAAUUUAAACUCUGUACUCUAAUUUGAACAAUUGUUAUGUUUGCUCUCAAUAAAUCAAAAUGAGAUGUUCUGAAUAAUCCAUUUGGUACCAAUGGAAAAAAAAACCCACUGUUGAAAUGUAUGAUUGUUAUUUUGGUGAAAACAUGAAGAAUAAAAUUAUUCUAUUUAUGACAA